rnacentral:rRNA from 3 species
UACGGAGGGGGCCAGCGUUGUUCGGAAUCAUUGGGCGUAAAGGGCGCGUAGGCGGCUUGGUAAGUCCGUUGUGAAAUCCCUCGGCUCAACCGAGGAACUGCGACGGAUACUGCUUGGCUUGAGUCCCGGAGAGGGUAGCGGAAUUCCCAGUGUAGCGGUGAAAUGCGUAGAUAUUGGGAGGAACAUCGGUGGCGAAGGCGGCUACCUGGACGGGUACUGACGCUGAUGCGCGAAAGCUAGGGGAGCAAACAGG